GAACAGCUUAUGUUUUUCUUUCACAAAAAAGCAGCAGGCACCACAGAGAGAGUCGGCUGUCUGGGUUUUUGAUGUGCACAGACCUUGCUUCUCUGAACCGGGAGAGAGAUGUUUGCCCCUCACUGCGGGGGCCCAGCACAGGUGGUUCCUGCUGGCUCCUGUCCUCGGUCAUCUCGUCUUUGGAGUUGUGGGAAUCCCUCCUAGAGUGUGGGAUAGGCUGACAAUCCUGCAUGUUAUUGUUGUGGUGAAUGUUUUCUCUUUAAGGGAUUUCAGUGAGAAAUUUAGAGGAACGUAGAGGAGGCUGUUGGGUAUUUUACCCUGCGUGCUUCCUUUAGAGGCUGUUCUGAGCUAUGGACUUUGCAAUCCUUGAACCCGGGAUUCUUACCAUGUCCUUUUCAACUGGUUUUUUGUUACUGUGUUUGUUCUGAAGACAGUGUCCUGGGGGAAGGAGACUUCUCCUUAACGCGCCGCUUGACUGACAGACACCCUUAAUGUAUGUCAGCUGAGGUCACUUUGUAAGGAAAAUUGAGAUUGUGUUCCCAAGAUUCCAGCCACUUCCCAGGGACACUGGCUCGGUUCUUGUUCUUACCCAGUUCACUGUCUCAGCUUCCAGAGGACAGAACCUUACCUCACCGGAUCCUUAACAGCUCCUCAUUCCCUGCCUCCUCACCACCCUACCACCUCAGCUGCUGGAAACCAUCAUUCUAUUCUCUAUGUCUAUGAAUUCAACUUAUUAGAUCCACAAAGAGGCCUCCGGCUUUGAAGAUGCUCAGGGAGUUGCUCUGGAGGGCUACGUGGAGAGAAUGGGAUUGGCGAGGAAAAGAGCAGAGCUGUAGAUACCACUGGAGCGUGGCCAGGCUGGGUGAGGACCCACACAGAAAGGUGUGGGCAGGCAUGGUGGGUGGGGGCGGGGGAUAAGACAUGCGCCCUGGGUAGUCAGCCAGUGCCCCCGUCACGCCCUGGCUGCAGGUGUCCAGCAUCAGCCGAGUGCACAUCCCACCUUGCAGGCCUCUCCUGGCUCAUGGCCCACUUUCUGUAUGCUACUCCUACCUCUCUGACCUCCUGCUGAGCUCAGCUAUCCUAGCUCAGAGUUUCGCCUUUCUUCUUGAAUACAAUCAGGGUUCUCUCUGUUGACCCUGGACCCCCAUUCUGAACAAUUCCCAUGGUGCUGGCCUUCUCUCAAUUAUCUGAAUUAAACCCCAGACUCACUGCAAGUCUUCAGCCAAGUGAAGACUUCCGGUGGCCUCUGCCACCCUGGCACUCGAGGAAGCAGAUGUUUCUCUCUCUUCCUAUAGUGCUCUUGUCAUGAAUCAUCUCCAGGUCCUCCCAACAGGAGCAGUCAGCUCCUCAUCUCGGCUGUGCUGUAACACUGGUAUCUCUGCAGCCUGGGGAAGAUGACGGUGUUUUAAUGGAGCGUACAUCUCUACAGUAACUGGCCUGGCACAUGAGAGCAGGAACAGCAGCUUCCUUUCCUGCAGGGUAUGGUGCAGAUUGCUUUCCACGCAUUAUUUCUGCUCCUCGCACCACCCUCCCCAACCCGAAAGAUAGAGCAUAUUGUCCUAAUUUUACGGAGCAGAAAACUGGCUCCCAGAGAGCAGCUCUGCUCAGCUAGGGCAUGUCAGAGCACUGCCUGGGACCCACAUCUCCUGACCCCAGGGCCAGGGCACCUCCGGGCCCUCACACGGGUCUUAAUAGAGAUACAUUUUAUAUUUAAACCAGCCCUUGGGCCAAGCAUCGUCCUCAGUCUCUCAGAACUUACUGCAUUUUUUUCUAAAUCCCAAUUCAAAAUUCCUUUAGCAUG